UACGUAGGUGGCAAGCGUUACUCGGAAUCACUAGGCGUAAAGCGCAGGUAGGCGGUUCGGUAAGUCUCUUGUGAAAGCUCCCGGCUCAACUGGGAGAGGUCAAGGGAAACUACCGGGCUAGAGUGUGGCAGAGGAAGCUGGAAUUCCCGGUGUAGCGGUGAAAUGCGUAGAGAUCGGGAGGAAUACCUAUGGCGAAAGCAGGCUUCUGGGCCGUCACUGACGCUGAGCUGCGAAAGCUAAGGGAGCAAACAGG
rnacentral:rRNA from 1 species